UGUUCGUGGCGGCAACAUAAU
rnacentral:piRNA from 1 species